rnacentral:rRNA from 1 species
CACUCCUGCGGGAGGCAGCAGUGGGGAAUAUUGGACAAUGGGCGCAAGCCUGAUCCAGCCAUGCCGCGUGAGUGAUGAAGGCCCUAGGGUUGUAAAGCUCUUUCACCGGUGAAGAUAAUGACGGUAACCGGAGAAGAAGCCCCGGCUAACUUCGUGCCAGCAGCCGCGGUAAUACGAAGGGGGCUAGCGUUGUUCGGAUUUACUGGGCGUAAAGCGCACGUAGGCGGACUAUUGAGUCAGGGGUGAAAUCCCGGGGCUCAACCCCGGAACUGCCUUUGAUACUGGUAGUCUUGAGUUCGAGAGAGGUGAGUGGAAUUCCGAGUGUAGAGGUGAAAUUCGUAGAUAUUCGGAGGAACACCAGUGGCGAAGGCGGCUCACUGGCUCGAUACUGACGCUGAGGUGCGAAAGCGUGGGGAGCAAACAGGAUUAGAAACCCCGGUAGUCCCAUGAU